UACGGGGGGGGCAAGCGUUGUUCGGAAUUACUGGGCGUAAAGGGUUUGUAGGUGGCUUGUUAAGUCGAGACGUGAAAUCCCUCAGCUUAACUCGGGGAACUGCGUCUGAUACUGGCGAGCUUAGUGGCAGGAGAGGAACGCGGAAUUCCAGGUGUAGCGGUGAAAUGCGUAGAUAUCUGGAGGAACACCGGUGGCGAAGGCGGCGUUUUUGGACUGCAACUGACACUGAGAAACGAAAGCCAGGGUAAGCAAACGGGG
rnacentral:rRNA from 1 species